AAGACUAUACUUUCAGGGAUCAUUUCUAUAGUUUGUUACUAGAGAAGUUUCUCUGAAUGUGUAGAGCACCCGAAACCAUGAGGAGGAGGUGCAGUAUUCUCUUCUGAGCGUGAAGCUAGCUUCUGGUGUUGCAUUUGUAACUGCCACUAGCUAUUGAUGAUCGUUCUUCUCUCUCUUUGAGAGAGUGAGAAGGAGAGAAUGCAGUCUGAGUGGU
rfam:Pteropus alecto contig110493, whole genome shotgun sequence.